UACAGAGGUCCCAAGCGUUGUUCGGAUUCACUGGGCGUAAAGGGUGCGUAGGUGGCGAGGUAAGUCGGAUGUGAAAUCUCCGAGCUCAACUCGGAAAUGGCAUUGGAAACUACCUUGCUCGAGGGUCGGAGGGGGGGACUGGAAUACUUGGUGUAGGCAGGUGAAAUGCGUAGAUAUCAAGUGGAACACCAGUGGCGAAGGCGAGUCCCUGGACGACUCCAUGGACCACUGAGGCACCGAAAGCUAGGGGGAAGGCAAAAGCAGGGAAUU
rnacentral:rRNA from 1 species